rnacentral:rRNA from 1 species
UUAUCAAAAACAUGUCUCUUUGAGAUUUUUUAAUAAAGAGUUGGGCCUGCUCGGUGAUUAAUAUUUAACAGCUGCGGUAUUAUAACUGUACUAAGGUAGCAUAAUAAUUUGCUCUAUAAAUUGGGGCUAGAAUGAAUGGUUUGACGAAAAUUUGACUGUCUCUAUUUUAUUUAUUAGAAAUUAAUUUUUGUAGUGAGAAAGCUUAAAUUGUUUAAAGGGACGAAAAGACCCUAUUGAGCUUAUAUUAUUUUAUAAAUUAUAUGAUUGUUGUUUAUUUAGAAUAAUUUUGAUUGGGGUGAUCAAGGAAUAAGAUUGUUUAAAUUAACUUCCUUAAUUAAUUUGUUUUGUGGAAAAAUAAACCAAAUUUUUUGCUUAGAAGAUAAGUUACCAUAGGGAUAACAGCGUAAUUUUUUUUGAGAGUUCAUAUUGAAAAAAGAGAUUGCGACCUCGAUGUUGGAUUAAAAUUAACCUUAAGGUGAAGAGGCUUU